ACAGAUGAAAAAUUUGCCUACAUUAUACUUUGGGAUAACGUAGUACCUCUACAUAAAUUUUAGUAAAAUCCAUGAUCCGAAGGCCAGAUACUUUCCUUCUUCAUAGAUUUUUUGUAACUUUGACGACAUAAAGAAUUUUUUUGCAACUCAAAAUUAGCAGCUGACCCUUUAAGGUAGAGCGCAGUACGUUUCGCAUUUGAUUGACGGGGAACGCAUGCGCCCUAAAAACUUUUCCCCAACGCACCCAUACAUGGCUGACGGUACCGAGAGCUGCUGCCGGGAUCGAUCGAGGCCGAAAGACCAGCAGUGCGUCGAGCCUGUUACCAUCGUCCCGUUGAAACAGCGCGGAAAUUUGGAAUAAGUGAAUAUGGGUAAACAUCUGCAAACCGUUGCGGCAAUGGCCUGCAUGAAGACGCUGUUGAUACUCUUCAAUUUUGCAUUUGGGUGCACCGGAGUACUGAUGCUGUGUGUUGGGAUCUGGAUGCGUAUUCAGCUCCGAGAGUACGUAGAUAUGAGCAUUGAAGGUAGCGGUGCAGCGCCUUUGGCUCUGGCCUGCCUCGGCAUCCUCGUAGUCGUAGCUUCUAUCUUGGCAUGUUGUUGUACGGCACGUGGACAUCCGGCACUCUUAUACCUUUACGGAGCAUUCUUGGCGGUUGUGGUACUCCUAGAGUUGGGAUCAGGUGCCUCCGUUUAUGCAUAUCGCAACGCUCUGACCGAGGGCUUCGAUCAAGGGCUCAAUGAAAGCUUGGUUCUCUAUGUAGACGACCCCAACAAACACCAUGAUAUCGAUACCAUGCAGUCUACCUUGCAUUGCUGUGGAAACCGCGGCUACACUGACUGGCACUCCAUAAACUUACCGGAAGAGAUUCCUAAAUCUUGCUGCAAGCAGCUUGAAAACCCGUGUGACUCUUCGAAUCUGGAUAACGUGUAUACUCAGGGUUGCUACAACCGAGUUGUCGACUUCAUAAACAGCAACAUUGGGUUGGUGGCUGGUAGUGCUGUAGGUGUUGCAUUCUUUCCUCUCAUUGGAGUCUUCCUUGCUUGUUGUCUGGCUAGUAAUAUCAACAAAGCCAAAUACGAGCAAGUUGCGUAAUUGAAUGACGCUGCGUGACGGUUAAUCACGAGAGAACGCAAUUAAACUAACAGAAACAAAAAUCAAAAUUUCUACACAUUGAGCGUCAUUGAGAGGGAGGUGGUGCCUGAAAUCUGGUAGCAGGCAGAACUGGAAUCCUUGAUUUCAGAAGAAGCAUUCGAGUCAUGGCAGUGAACAAACUACGCUUAUUAAGUCGAAUUUAAUUACAAAACUGGCUUUUUAUCGAAUAUUUUAUUCUAUAUUAACUCAAUGUCAUGAAAUGAAAACCGAAAAGCUUGUACGAAGUUUUCUGUGCUGUAAGAUUUAAGUGAUUAAUCUAAUCGAUCAGCUGAUUACCGCUCACGUCGCCGUAUUGUUUUAAGAGGAUGUUAUAAUCAGUCCAUACUGACCGCGAUAAAUGUCACUUAUUUUGACCAUUAUCAAAGCCUCUGCAACACUGAUGUAGAAAUACCAUAGCCAGCGCAAUUCUACAUGUAAUGGCUAUUAUAAAUAUCAAAAAAAGUUUUCUUUCACGUAACAAUAACGCCACGAAAUGUAUUGUUAUAAUUGAAUUAUCGCUUAUUGCA